CUUGGUGAUUUGAGCGGUUUGGAACCACCUCUUCCCAUCCCGAACAGAGCCGUGAAACAAACCAGCGCCGACGAUACUACUUCGUGGGACAAUAGGUCAUCGCCAAGG
rnacentral:rRNA from 1 species